UGACCUCACAUUGUCCGAUGGCGGCCCUUGUUAACAUGUCAGUCGAACGGUAACAUAACCUUCUUGCUUCUUUGAUGACGAGGGGCCUACGGGUGAUUAAUGCUUGCGAAUCCUCCUGAUGGAGGGGGAUAACUAUGGGAAGCUGGGGAAAUACCGCGUACAAUCGUGCUGAUGAAAGUGUGGGACCUUCUCCCACUUGCCAUAGCAUGAGCCCAAGUGGGAUUAGGUCUGUGGUGAGGUUUGGCUCACCACUUGACGAUCUCUACUUGGUCUGAGAGGAUGACCACAUUGUCUGGGACUGGUACACCGCCCCAACUCCUACAGGAGGAUUUGACGGGGAAUAUUGCUUCCUGGGGGCAACCCUGACGCAGCCAUGCCGCGUGAAUGACUGAAGGAUUCGGGUUGUAAAGUUCUUUCGCUGACGAUGAAGGAUGUAGUGUUACUUCUCCAGACAAUUGAUGUUAAUCACCAUGCACCACCUGUCUAACUCUGUUGCCAAGGAAAACUCUAUUACUAAAGGUGCGAGAGUUAUGUCGAGUAACUGGGACGGAUCUGCCACGUUGCUUCGCUAUUUACCUGAUGUGUGACCUCUUGGGCGUUACCCCGUCAAUUGCAUUUCAGUACUGACCUUGUAGACUAUUUUAGCGAGGGGAAUGCUUCCAUGCUGUAGCUGCGAAAUGCGUACACAUGUGGAGGUAAUAACCGAUGGCACUCGCCGCCUUCCUGGGAGAACAUAUGACGGUCAUCGCAUUCAUAGUUUGCUCCACCAAGACUAUGCAAUGACAUCACCGU
rnacentral:rRNA from 1 species